UACGUAGGGUGCGAGCGUUAAUCGGAAUUACUGGGCGUAAAGCGUGCGCAGGCGGUUCGUUGUGUCUGUGAUGAAAGCCCCGGGCUUAACCUGGGAAUGGCCAUGGAAACUGGCGAGCUGGAGUGUGGCAGAGGGGGGUGGAAUUCCGCGUGUAGCAGUGAAAUGCGUAGAGAUGCGGAGGAACACCGAUGGCGAAGGCAGCCCCCUGGGUUGACACUGACGCUCAGGCACGAAAGCGUGGGGAGCAAACAGG
rnacentral:rRNA from 1 species